UACGGAGGGGGCUAGCGUUGUUCGGAAUCACUGGGCGUAAAGCGCGUGUAGGCGGCUUGGUAAGUCGGGUGUGAAAGCCCGGAGCUCAACUCCGGAACUGCACUCGAAACUGCCUCGCUCGAGUCCCGGAGAGGGUGGUGGAAUUCCCGGUGUAGAGGUGAAAUUCGUAGAUAUCGGGAGGAACACCAGUGGCGAAGGCGGCCACCUGGACGGUGACUGACGCUGAGACGCGAAAGCGUGGGGAGCAAACAGG
rnacentral:rRNA from 1 species